AUGCCCAGGGAGGUGCGUCAACAUCACCACUGCGUCCUUGACGCCUGCUGCCCAGACCAUGACCAUUGCGUCUACAAGAACGGAUCUUCCCAAGAUCACUCAUGCACAGAAAUGAGUGUUAAAAGGCAGCAACAUGUUUUCCAUUACAUGGCAGCAGGCAGACGCCCUCCAUGGGCGGGGAUGACGAGGACUGGCACGUGUGGGCCACCAUACCCGAGCUUGACCAGGAGGACAUGGUCGACUCCGACCCUGAGCUCCACGACGCACAAGGGUUCCGGUGUUCAAAGCAAGUUGAACGACUCACAAAAUUCUCCUCCGCCCUCAUUAAGUUUCACACAAGAUCUCUCCCUCUCUCUCUCUCUCUCUCUCUCUGUGUGUGUGUGUGUGUGUGUGUGUGUGUGUGUGUGUGUGUGUGUGUGUGUGUGUGUUCUAACACUGCUUGUAAAUAAGCAGACUCGUGUACUUGUCAAAUAA
rnacentral:rRNA from 1 species